AGGGCGGGCCGGGCGGCCGCGCCGGGCGCGAAAGCGCCCGGCGAGGAAAGUCCGGACACCACAGGGCGGCGCACCUCGAUAACAUCGGGGCGGUCGGGGACCCGCAAGGGCCUCCGGCAAGGACCAGUGCCACAGAGACGCCCUGCCAUCGGGCAGGGCGCCCCGCCUUCAUGGCGGGGCGAGUCCUCCGGCAACGGAGGGGUGAAACGAGGCAAACUCUGCGCGGUGCAAGGCCAAAUAGGGGGCGAGGAGCUGCCCGCUCCGAUCCCGCAAGGGGACAGCCCCGGGUAGGCCGCUUGAGCCGCGGAGCAAUCCGCGGCCCAGAGGAAUGGCCGCCGUCCGGUGCGCAAGUGCGGGUGCAUUCCCCACUCGGGCACAGGGAUACAGAAUCCGGCUUAUAGGCCCGCCCUGACA
rnacentral:RNase_P_RNA from 1 species